rnacentral:rRNA from 1 species
AUUGAACGCUAGCGGGAUGCCUUACACCUGCAAGUCGAACGGAGUGGCGAACGGGUGAGUAAUGUAUCGGAACGUGCCCAGUAGCGGCGGAUAAGUACGCGAAGGCGUACCUAAUAACGCAUCCUAUUGGCGCGGCCGAGCUCGGAUUAGCUAGUUGGUGGGGUAACGGCGCACCCAGCCGACGAUCCGUAGCUGGUUUGAGAGGACGACCAGCCACAUUGGGACGGAGACACGGCCCAGACUCCUACGCGAGGCAGCAGUGGGGAAUUUUGGACAAUGGGGGAAACCCUGAUCCAGCCACCCCGCGUGUGCGAUGAAGGCCUUCGGGUUGUAAAGCACUUUUGGCAGGAAGGCGGUACCGGCAGAAUAAGCACCGGCAAAAUACGUGCCAGCAGCCGCGGUAAUUC